rnacentral:rRNA from 1 species
AUGGGCGGACGGAAAGAAGCAGCGGUGCCGGGCGUGGCCUAUGAGGGAGGAGGCAGCGGCGGCAGUGGAUCGAGCUCAUGCAAACGCAUAGCUGCUGUUUGCAAAAUCAGCAAGCGCAGCCAGCAGGGAAUCUUUAAAAAGAUGAAGCCAAUUGCUACUUAUUUUGCAACUCCACCAUCUAAUGAAUCUCAAGCUCCUGUUCAUGUUCAUGUUCCUGAACCUGAUGCUAACAUUUUAUCCACUGAAGCCUCAGAUGCAAACAUUGUAGAAGAUAUAUUUGCUGGAAUUGAUGACAAGAAGAUCAUAGAACAUUUUCACAGCUUGAGAGACCGUAGAGGCCAUCUACCAAACCCUCCCCGUAUACUUACGACUUAG